GUUCUAGCACUCAUUAAUGCAUUUAUCAUAAUUGUAUCUUUUAUCGAGAGAUAAAAAGAUCAUUGAGGGGAAUAGAAUUGAUCACUAUCGAGAGAGACUUUCAAUUAAAUUAGGAACAUUAUUUAGCAUGAAUGAUUUCAAAUUCUCAAUUUAGUUAUUACACCAAAAAUUGAAUAACAAGGACGAUUCAAUAUCUUAGCAAUACUUUCACAUAUUUGAAAAAUACCAUUAAAUUUCCUUUCAGUUUAAUUGAUAAUUUAGAUAUUAGUAUAGAAAACAUAAAAUCUAUUUGCUAUUCGAUUAAGGUUGCUAUUAAUUUGAACUCGAUUGAACACAUAGUCGUUGUGAGUUCGACACUCUACACACUAUUAUACUUCUUGCUAACAAUCCCGUCCACUUUUGAGUUUUCAAAGAGUUAGUGCAUAAGCCUUAACGAUUAUAUCUUCUAGGGCUAGCUAUAAAGCCUCAUCUCUUUGAGUUGGCACGUGAGCCUUCAACAUUAGAUCUUCCGAUGCUAGCUAUAGAGGCUAGCUUCUUUGAGGUUGACUAGUGACUCCUCGCUACUAUUUUUCCUAUGUUGACUGUAAGGCCUUGUCUUUCUAUGGCGAGCCUAUAUUUUAAACUUCAAUUUUAAGUCCUCGCUUAUUGGAAAUCAACUCAUAUUUCAAAGGCUAUCUGUAAAUUCGUAUAUUUUAGAGGUAGUUCACAAGACCUCUUCUAUUUGGUAUUGUCACGAAUUUCAGAGGAACUUCCUAAACCAUUUUCAAGCUAAGAUAAAUUAUAUUACAAAGAUUCGUUAUGUCUUAAAAUACUAGAGGAAAACUAGCAAACCUUUAACUCCUGCUUUAUAUAUAUAUAUACACUUCACCAUCAAAAUGCCAAUGGUAGUCAAUCAUUUUUAUUUGAAUGAUAAUCUUGGUGCUAGCGAUUUGUUUUUUAAAUAUUUACUAGCAUGUAAGUCAUAUAAUUAUUUUACUAUUGCUGGCAUAAUACUUUCUUUAUACCCACUAUCUGAAAAGUUCCCAGUCUGAAUUUUCAUUAUUCCAAAGUUUACUGAUUCAUGCUUAUUGCUAAGGCAAGCUAUCAAUACUCGUUCAUCUGAAGAUAGAUUAAUAAACUCCAAUUGUUUAAGGUGAGCUUCUAGCUUGUCAUUUCAUAUUAUUGAGGCAAGCUAUAAUCUCUUGCUCACUUGAUCAGGCCUGCUUAUAAGACUUCUAAUUAAUCAAGGUGAGCCUCAAGCUCGUGGUUUCUUAUUAUCAAAGGCAACCUUAGUAACGUUUGCAUCCAAAGAUGGCUUGUGGAUUUUUUUAUUAGUGAAGGCGAGGUCACAAGGCCUCACACCUAAGGAGCUACCUUGUGGUUUUCUUAUUGUUGAAAGUAAGGCUCCAACUCAUAUUUUUAUCGUUGAAGAUAAGCCCAUUAUUCCUUUCACCUCAAGUUGGCUCGUGGUUUUCUUAUUAUCACUAGCUCAUGAUUUUUUGUUCCUCAUGAUAAUUAUGCUUAUACAUUGCUAUGUUAGAUAUCUCAUCAUGCGAGAUGAUUAUAUCACAUAAGUCUUACUAUGAGAGAUUCCUCACCAUGUAAGAAGAAUAUAUUGCAUAUACUCAAGAGGAUUUUAUUAUGUAUGCCUCGUCGGGUGAGAUUAUCGUAAUAUAUGUGCCUCGAUAAUCUACAUGAUCGUUUGCAUAUGCUCAGUUUAUGAGAUGGUCACAUUUAUAACUCAACUAUGAUUGGAAACCAUGGCCCUUACGAGGUCUGUCUCUAUACAGAUUUAAGUCCAUUUCCCCUAUGCAAAAAACUUUGACAGGAGAGCCACGUACCUUGUGAGGCGCGCCUCUAUUAAACUUUGCAAGUCAACUCUAUUUCUCAAGACCUUUGAGGAUAAAUAGAAAUCUAACAAAAAUCAGCCUCGAUAACCUAUACGAGAAAGUGAUGAGAAUGUAAAAUGUAAUAUUUUCCCUCCCUUAGUACUUAUGCUUUUAUAAUUAUUUGGUGCGUGAAUCUACUCAUUAUUCUUAUAUUUUGAUUCAGCAUGCAAAUGGAUGAAUAUGUUUGAAUUUAGAAGAAACAAGCGAAAAAUGACUAAAAUGGAGGAAAAUGAAAGUUCAAGAACCAAAGUGCAAGCAGCUAAAAGACGACCCUUAAGGCAAAAUGAAGAAGUGAGAGAUUUGAAGGCGAAUUUAUAGAAGGCAUGAAGUAUUGGAAGAAGAAGAAACGAGAAAAGAAGUCAAAAAAUGUGAAAACGAAGUUUGAGGACUAAAACGCAAAAACUAGAAAGAUAUCAACACUAUGCGGUCACAUAGAAUAUAUACCUAUGUAGUUGCAUAUGGUAUUUCCGAGACUUCAAAGGCUGAAAUUACAUGAACCAUACGACCGCAUUAGUUUGUUCUAUGCUGUCGCAUGGUAUGUUUUCAGAACAAAAAUCUUGAUUUCCAAAAUUAAUUCCAAGAGACGUACUAGUUUAUUAUUUGUGCAAUUUACUGCUGGGUUAGAUAUCAAAUUCAUAAUUAUUUGAUCCACCUAACUUGUAAAUAAAUUAAGAUUUGAUGCUUUACUGCAUUAGAAAUUGUUGAAUCUUG
rnacentral:lncRNA from 1 species